UCCGGGGAUUUCCUCUGGCCUUACAGAAAAUGAUGCAGAGAAGCCUCUGUUCCCCGGAACAGGAGGCCAGAGGCCACCUGGGUGGUGGCUGUGGGGUCAGGAUUCUCACUUGUGGUCAUCGUCGGAGAUGUCGGCUGGGAGCCUGGGGUGGGGGUGAUUCACUGGAUGCCUGGACGCAGGCCUGAGGGCGGCUUGGAGCUGGUGCUCUAAAGCUGAGUCCGUGAGACUUCACUCGCAUUCUCUCCCUUCCGAAGACAAAACUGGAAAGAAGGCGCAGUGAUCCAUGGAAUCUCUAAGAAACAAAGCUGCUCCAUGGAAGUAAGCUACACGCAAAUCCUAGUCAUGGCGACAUUCACAACGGCAAAAAAUUGGGAACAGCUACCUUGUUCCUGAGGGAGAGACCGGCCAAGGGCUGGAGUAUGUCCGGUGCGCGGUAGGAUGAAAUGCAGCGCAGACAUUGCCGUAGGGUGGCGGCUCGUCUAUGUGAGUUGGCGCGGAGAUGCCCAGCAUAUCUCAGUGGACAAGAUGAGCCACAGAAGCCCUGCAGCGUGAGCCCGCCCCUGUGUGUGACACUUGGAGAACCAAUGAUUCCGCCUUUGGAGCAGUGUGAGCUCUGCAGUCAGCCUAGCUGCGCUCUGCGCCCUACAGUUUUGGGACUGUGGAACUAGGAAUUGAACUCAGGACACCACGCUUGCUAGCCAAGAGCCAAGCCACUGAGCCAUUCCCACAGCCCUCUCAAAUUCCCUGUCUUCAUUAGCAUCAGGAUUGGCUCUGACGAUGAGGCUCCAGGCAGGAGGUCCCAGCACUAAGAAGCCAAAGCCUCAACCUCUGUUUUCCUGGGGUCAGGGUUCCAACUUCACCACCGCUCAUCGCAGCGUUUCACCUCUGCAUCCAGCACUGAGAAACUUCCCCAACAAACCAGAGAGUCCGCCAUCUUCAUUGUUUCCCUAAUGAAAAGGGAUCUUUUUCAGAGGCAAUAUUCUUGUUGUGAGAAAUUACUUACCUAAAACUCUGCAAUAUUUUCAUUUAUCUUUCUGUUAAUUCCUGAAAAAUUAAACUACCUUAUCAAAAAAAUUAAAGUCUUACCUUAA